UCGCUCACAUAACUGUCAGCCUCUGAAGGAGCAGCGCUAAUGGGGCUGUUUUUAAUGAGCCAGGAAGAGGAGAGUGACCCUUCGAAGAACCUGGAGAGCAUCCUGUGUCUCCUCUGCUGGGAAUCUUCUGCUACUUCUAGGAGUCAAGGAUGGAGAAGAAGAAGAAGAAAAGGAAGAAGAAGAAGAAGAAGAAGAAGCAGUCAGGAGCCGGAGUACCAGAGCGAGCGGAAAACAAACCGUGAUGGAUAGACACGUGCCGGCGUACAGAGGAACCUAUUUGGACUGGCGUGUCAGCCCAUCUUUAUCAAAUGUUGCAGAGAACCCCGCUCCGCUGCUCCUUUCCCUCCACCUCCCCCGUCUUCCUGCCCAUUUAGCCGCUGUGAGCUGUGAGCUGCAGGAUCGGAGCUUUAGAGUGAGCGCGAAAAGCGCAGGCCCUUCUCCGCCGGAUGGCCGAGGGAACGCUGCGAUGCUUCGGAAGAGUUUGGAGUGGGGUAGAUAUCGAUUUACACUGCAUGACUGGGGCCGCUAACGAAGCCUCUCCCCUGCCUGCCCCAUCUCAUGACAACCACCUGCCUCGCCGCGCAGCCAUUGGCUGAGCCUCGGCAGCGCCUCUGCCAAUCAAAGCCCCACUGAUGGCCCCUGCUUGAGCAUGACCUCAGGAUGACAUCACUGGAAAGGCAUUAAAGUAAUAAAGGGCUUGCUAGUACAAUACAGUAAAGGGCAGGGCAACAUAAAGCCUCAUCAAUCAGAGCAUACACAGAAUUCAAAUAGAGGCGUCUCACUCUUAGUUGAACGAGAGGUCAUCUCUCCCGGAGCGCCGUCUCCCCUGGAAAAACUUCUCCCUCCGAGUCUAUCAGUUCUGUCGUAAUGUUUUGAGUCUAUCUGCGCUGCACACCUUGUCGGUAAAAUGGAGACAGGCUGUGUAAGUGUGUGUGUGUGUGGGGGGGGAGGGGUGGAUAGAGGUAUAUUACCACAUAGGAAGGUGGGGAUCAAUAGUAAAUCCUCCUGAGCUGUAGGUAUUUCUCCUGAGAUGUGGGGACUCUUGAGUCUAAUCAAUGAAAACCACGGCGAGCAUCUUGGACUUGAUGGAAGUUUGGACUGAUGGGAAUCCAUCGUGAGAUGAGUUACAGCGGCCAUCAUAAAAAGGAGAGGCGAACGAUUGUCCAAAAUCAAAACAACUCGAACUCAAGGUGGCGUUUCAGAGCAGAAAUGUGUCCCCACUGGUCAACAUUAGAUCCAUCGUGUUAAGGUCAACAUGGUUUUAGAAGAUAUACUUAGAUUAUACGACACAAAUGUAGUAAAAUUACCCAAUGUCUUCUUCAGCUUUUCUUCAGAAAGGAAAGGUCUGUUCGCAAACAAUAAAUGUUUGACUUUGAGAAA